rnacentral:rRNA from 1 species
AUUAAUGAGAGUUUGAUCCUGGCUCAGAACGAACGCUGGCGGCGUGCCUAACACAUGCAAGUCGAACGGGGUCCUGGGUGUAGCAAUACAUUCAUGAUUUAGAGGCGAACGGGUGAGUAACACGUAGGUAACCAACCUCAGGGCGGGGGACAACCCCGAGAAAUCGGGGCUAAUACCGCAU